UGCGGAGGAUCAUUAACGAGAGGGGUUUUCGGACCCCGGGGCUUCGGCCCCUAACUCUUCACCCUCUGUCUACGUACUAUGUUGCUUUGGCGGGCCUUGGGGUUCGCUCCUGGCCGGCCGGUGGCCUAGCGGCCCCGGCUCGCUCGUGCCCGCCAGAGGCCCAUGAAACCCAACCUUAUCUUUGACGUCCGAGCAAAAAUACAAUCGUAAAAACUUUCAACAACGGAUCUCUUGGUUCUGGCAUCGAUGAAGAACGCAGCGAAAUGCGAUAAGUAAUGUGAAUUGCAGAAUUCAGUGAAUCAUCGAAUCUUUGAACGCACAUUGCGCCCCUCGGUAUUCCGGGGGGCAUGCCUGUUCGAGCGUCAUUACACCCCUCAAGCGCCGCUUGGUAUUGGGUCUUCGCUCUUCGGGGCGGGCCCGAAAGUUAGUGGCGGCCCGGCGUGACUUCGAGCGUAGUAAUCUUUCUCCCGCUUUGGAACCUCGCGCUGUGACCGGCCAGAACGCCCAAAUUUUUCAAUAAUUGACCUCGGAUCAGGUAGGGAUACCCGCUGAACUUAAGCAUAUCAAUAAGCGGAGGAAAAGAAACCAACAGGGAUUGCCUCAGUAACGGCGAGUGAAGCGGCAUAAGCUCAAAUUUGAAAUCUGGCCCCUUCGGGGUC
rnacentral:rRNA from 1 species